rnacentral:rRNA from 1 species
GACAGAGGGGGCAAGCGUUGCUCGGAAUCACUGGGCGUAAAGGGCGCGUAGGCGGGCUGCCAAGUCUGGGGUGAAAUCCCACGGCUCAACCGUGGAACUGCCUCGGAUACUGGCGGCCUCGAGGGAGGUAGGGGCAUGCGGAACUGUGGGUGUAGCGGUGAAAUGCGCAGAUAUCAGGAAGAACACCCGUGGUGAAGGCGGCUCUCUGGGACGGUACUGACGCUGAGACGCGAAAGCGUGGGGAGCGAACAGG